rnacentral:rRNA from 1 species
GAACCUGAAACCGUGUACGUACAAGCAGUGGGAGCCCCACCACCAAAGCAUUCUCUGGUGUUGAAGGCCCUGCAAAGCAGCAUCGCGGUGGCGGAGCGUCGUUUGCGACGCCCAACACACAAAACAAGCGGUGAGUGCUUUGGGGUGGGGUGACUGCGUACCUUUUGUAUAAUGGGUCAGCGACUUAUAUUCUGUAGCAAGGUUAACCGAAUAGGGGAGCCGGAGGGAAACCGAGUCUUAAUUGGGCGUUAAGUUGCAGGGUAUAGACCCGAAACCCGGUGAUCUAGCCAUGGGCAGGUUGAAGGUUGGGUAACACUAACUGGAGGACCGAACCGACUAAUGUUGAAAAAUUAGCGGAUGACCUGUGGCUGGGGGUGAAAGGCCAAUCAAACCGGGAGAUAGCUGGUUCUCCCCGAAAGCUAUUUAGGUAGCGCCUCGUGAAUUCAUCUCCGGGGGUAGAGCACUGUUUCGGCUAGGGGGCCAUCCCGGCUUACCAACCCGAUGCAAACUGCGAAUACCGGAGAAUGUUAUCACGGGAGACACACGGCGGGUGCUAACGUCCGUCGUGAAGAGGGAAACAACCCAGACCGCCAGCUAAGGUCCCAAAGUCAUGGUUAAGUGGGAAACGAUGUGGGAAGGCCCAGACAGCCAGGAUGUUGGCUUAGAAGCAGCCAUCAUUUAAAGAAAGCGUAAUAGCUCACUGGUCGAGUCGGCCUGCGCGGAAGAUGUAACGGGGCUAAACCAUGCACCGAAGCUGCGGCAGCGACACUAUGUGUUGUUGGGUAGGGGAGCGUUCUGUAAGCCUGUGAAGGUGGCCUGUGAGGGUUGCUGGAGGUAUCAGAAGUGCGAAUGCUGACAUAAGUAACGAUAAAGCGGGUGAAAAGCCCGCUCGCCGGAAGACCAAGGGUUCCUGUCCAACGUUAAUCGGGGCAGGGUGAGUCGACCCCUAAGGCGAGGCCGAAAGGCGUAGUCGAUGGGAAACGGGUUAAUAUUCCCGUACUUGGUGUUACUGCGAAGGGGGGACGGAGAAGGCUAUGUUGGCCGGGCGACGGUUGUCCCGGUUUAAGCGUGUAGGUGUGUGUUCCAGGUAAAUCCGGUUCACUUUAACACUGAGGCGUGAUGACGAGGCACUACGGUGCUGAAGCAACAAAUGCCCUGCUUCCAGGAAAAGCCUCUAAGCAUCAGGUAACAUCAAAUCGUACCCCAAACCGACACAGGUGGUCAGGUAGAGAAUACCAAGGCGCUUGAGAGAACUCGGGUGAAGGAACUAGGCAAAAUGGUGCCGUAACUUCGGGAGAAGGCACGCUGACAUGUAGGUGAAGUGAUUUACUCAUGGAGCUGAAGUCAGUCGAAGAUACCAGCUGGCUGCAACUGUUUAUUAAAAACACAGCACUGUGCAAACACGAAAGUGGACGUAUACGGUGUGACGCCUGCCCGGUGCCGGAAGGUUAAUUGAUGGGGUCAGCGCAAGCGAAGCUCCUGAUCGAAGCCCCGGUAAACGGCGGCCGUAACUAUAACGGUCCUAAGGUAGCGAAAUUCCUUGUCGGGUAAGUUCCGACCUGCACGAAUGGCGUAAUGAUGGCCAGGCUGUCUCCACCCGAGACUCAGUGAAAUUGAACUCGCUGUGAAGAUGCAGUGUACCCGCGGCAAGACGGAAAGACCCCGUGAACCUUUACUAUAGCUUGACACUGAACAUUGAGCCUUGAUGUGUAGGAUAGGUGGGAGGCUUUGAAGCGUGGACGCCAGUCUGCGUGGAGCCGACCUUGAAAUACCACCCUUUAAUGUUUGAUGUUCUAACGUGGACCCGUUACCCGGGUUGCGGACAGUGUCUGGUGGGUAGUUUGACUGGGGCGGUCUCCUCCUAAAGAGUAACGGAGGAGCACGAAGGUUGGCUAAUCCUGGUCGGACAUCAGGAGGUUAGUGCAAUGGCAUAAGCCAGCUUGACUGCGAGCGUGACGGCGCGAGCAGGUGCGAAAGCAGGUCAUAGUGAUCCGGUGGUUCUGAAUGGAAGGGCCAUCGCUCAACGGAUAAAAGGUACUCCGGGGAUAACAGGCUGAUACCGCCCAAGAGUUCAUAUCGACGGCGGUGUUUGGCACCUCGAUGUCGGCUCAUCACAUCCUGGGGCUGAAGUAGGUCCCAAGGGUAUGGCUGUUCGCCAUUUAAAGUGGUACGCGAGCUGGGUUUAGAACGUCGUGAGACAGUUCGGUCCCUAUCUGCCGUGGGCGCUGGAGAACUGAGGGGGGCUGCUCCUAGUACGAGAGGACCGGAGUGGACGCAUCACUGGUGUUCGGGUUGUCAUGCCAAUGGCACUGCCCGGUAGCUAAAUGCGGAAGAGAUAAGUGCUGAAAGCAUCUAAGCACGAAACUUGCCCCGAGAUGAGUUCUCCCUGAGACUUAGAGUCUCCUGAAGGAACGUUGAAGACGACGACGUUGAUAGGCCGGGUGUGUAAGCGCAGCGAUGCGUUGAGCUAACCGGUACUAAUGAACCGUGAGGCUUAACCUUACAACGCCGAAG